rnacentral:rRNA from 1 species
AAAUUGAAGAGUUUGAUCAUGGCUCAGAUUGAACGCUGGCGGCAGGCCUAACACAUGCAAGUCGAACGGUAACAGGAAUCAGCUUGCUGAUUCGCUGACGAGUGGCGGACGGGUGAGUAAUGUCUGGGAAACUGCCUGAUGGAGGGGGAUAACUACUGGAAACGGUAGCUAAUACCGCAUAACGUCGCAAGACCAAAGAGGGGGACCUUCGGGCCUCUUGCCAUCGGAUGUGCCCAGAUGGGAUUAGCUUGUUGGUGGGGUAACGGCUCACCAAGGCGACGAUCCCUAGCUGGUCUGAGAGGAUGACCAGCCACACUGGAACUGAGACACGGUCCAGACUCCUACGGGAGGCAGCAGUGGGGAAUAUUGCACAAUGGGCGCAAGCCUGAUGCAGCCAUGCCGCGUGUAUGAAGAAGGCCUUCGGGUUGUAAAGUACUUUCAGCGGGGAGGAAGGGAGUAAAGUUAAUACCUUU